rnacentral:rRNA from 1 species
CGCCGUGAAUACGUUCCCGGGCCUUGUACACACCGCCCGUCACAUCACGAAAGUGGGUUGUACUAGAAGUCCGCCUAAAACGGCCCAAGGUAUGACUCACGAGUUGGGGUG